rfam:Homo sapiens chromosome 3, GRCh38 reference primary assembly.
GCUGGGCAAGGUGGCGCAUGCCUGUAGUCCCAGCUACUAGGGAGGCUGAGGUGGGAGGAUAGCUUGAGCCCAGAAGGUGGAGGUGGCAGUAAGCCAAAUUGCACUACUGCACUCCAGUCUGGGCAACAGAGCCAGACCCUGUCUCAA